GACGAACGCUGGCGGCGUGCCUAAUACAUGCAAGUCGAACGCAGUGGGGACGGGUGAGUAACACGUGGGUAACCUCGCAUCAGAGGGGAUAACACUUGGAAACAGGUGCUAAACCGAUACUGAUGGAUGGACCCGCGGUGCAUUAGCUCGUUGGGGAGGUAACGGCGCACCAAGGCCACGAGGCAUCGCCGACCUUAGAGGGGGAUCGGGCACACUGGGACUGAGACACGGCCCAGACUCCUACGGUAGGAAGCAGUGGGGAAUCGGCGGCAAUGGACGAAAGUCUGACCGAGCAACGCCGCGUGAGUGAAGAAGGUUUUCGGAUCGUAAAGCUCUGGUGGUAGAGAAGCGGUAUCUAACCAGAAAGCCACGGCUAACUACGUGCCAGCAGCCGCGGUAAUUC
rnacentral:rRNA from 1 species